GACGUAGGUGGCGAACGUUAUCCGGAAUCAUUGGGCGUAAAGGGUGCGUAGAUGGCAUGAUAAGUUAUUAGUGGGAAAUCGAGGCUCAACCUCGUGGAAGCUAGUAAUACUGUUUUGCUUGAGUGCAGAAGAGGUUAACGGAAUUCCAUGUGGAGCGGUAAAAUGUGUAGAUAUAUGGAAGAACAUCAAUAACGGCGAAGGCAGUUAACUAUUCUGCUACUGACACUGAGGCACGAAAGCGUGGGGAGCAAAACGG
rnacentral:rRNA from 1 species